rnacentral:rRNA from 1 species
UACGGAAGGGGGCUAGCGUUGCUCGGAAUCACUGGGCGUAAAGGGUGCGUAGGCGGGUCUUUAAGUCAGAGGUGAAAUCCUGGAGCUCAACUCCAGAACUGCCUUUGAUACUGAGGAUCUUGAGUACGGGAGAGGUGAGUGGAACUGCGAGUGUAGAGGUGAAAUUCGUAGAUAUUCGCAAGAACACCAGUGGCGAAGGCGGCUCACUGGCCCGUUACUGACGCUGAGGCACGAAAGCGAUGGGGAGCAAACGGGG